CACUCGUGCUAAUGGCAUGUCCUCCUAGUAGCAGCCAGUCCCGGGUAUUACGUGGAAAACCUAGACCCUGGCGUGAUUAACGUGUGUCCGGAGGCGAUAAGUGCCGCUGCCGGUUGUCGCUCCGGUGCCUCUGCUCCUAAUUAGAUUCCACUCUGAUUAAAUCGGGCGACACUGGCGACAGGUGAUCCUCCGUACAAUACUAUAAACUCCAACCAGGCAAGAGAAGAUAUUACCAUUAUUUUCAAAAAAUAGAAAGUAGGAUUUUGGCGCCCAUGAUCCAUCUGAGGAGCCUAAGGUUGAUUUUAAGCAAUACCCGGGGUGUGUUGACAAUUGAGGAACAUUGUUGUGAACCAUAGAGUUUGACAUUUUGUUUGAAAUCUAGGAAGUGCUUUCGACUAAGAAUCUAUUUUUUAAGGUUAACACUGCAACCACCCUCAACGAUGAAGGAAUGGACGAUAAGUGGCGAUAAAGAUGAACUCCGUGUUGAAAUAGAGGGCGUGGAUAUGUAAGGGGUAUUGUACCAUGCUUAUCACGCUAGAGACUGUGCGAACUAGCGGAACGUCUUGCCUUCUCAGGCCGACGGGUUCAUGUUAAAUAGAUGGGGCGCACCUCCCAUAACAGCGCAUACAUUCGGUUGCGAUUACAUGCUUGGAGAUCAAGAAAGGACAUAGAGAUAAGAAGUUACAUGAGAUAAACACGAUAUCUAACAACCUAACCAUCUCCUAAGAUGCGCCUGUCAUGUAGAUAUCGAAG